CCUACGGGCGGCAGCAGUGAGGAAUAUUGGUCAAUGGCCGGAAGGCUGAACCAGCCAUGCCGCGUGAAGGUCAGUGCCCUUUGGGCGUUAAACUUCUUUUGUUCGGGAGCAAUAAUGGUCACGUGUGGCCAGACGAGAGUACCGUUCGAAUAAGCAUCGGCUUACUCCGGGUCAGCAGGCCCCGUUAGUAGGGGGGGUCCAGGGUUUUCCCGACUUUUUGGGUUUAAAGGGGGCGGAAGGUGUGAGGUAAGGCAGCGGUGGAAUGCCACCGCUGAACCGGGGGAAGUGCCAUUGAUACUGGCUGGCUUGAGUGCGGGUGCGGUGGGAGGAAUUUGUGGUGUAGCGGUGAAAUGCAUAGAUAUCACGCAGAACACCGAUUGCGAAGGCAUCUCACGGAUCCGCGAUUGACGCUGAUGCACGAAAGCGUGGGUAUCAAACAGGAUUAGAUACCCGAGUAGUC
rnacentral:rRNA from 1 species